UUUUCCUUCAGCUGCCUUGCUUGUGGAAGGUGCGUUUUAGGCAAGAUUGUAAACACGAAGUUCCCACGAGCCUAGUCAACCUAAUUGAUUGAUGACAGGUGAAGGGAAUUAGAUGGGCAAGCUUGGAGUUGGAAAAGCCUGGCUAAAGCGUGACUAUUACCUUAAACAUACUGAAGUCCUGCAAAAACCGCAGCUAAUAUGACAAAAGGAGACCUGACUUUGCUGAGGGUAUUCAGUUGGCUUAAGGAGAGAUCUUGAAUAAUCCAGGUAAGGAAGGCAACUGGGCCGAGCUGGGACUUAUGGCCCUGCAUAGAAAGAACUCUCUGGGAUAAUCCAGCAUUAGCCCAUCCUGGAGCCGGAACCCAUUCCCGCUGUUUUCCUGCUACAUCUGCCUGCUUGCCCAACUCUGAGCUGUGGGCCCAGCCUCUAAGGCUGCUCUCCAGAGGGGUCUGGCCAUCCCUGCCAUUCCAAGGACAACACACCCAGUGCAGCCAGGAAGGACCACAAAACUCACAUCAGAGCUGACUCCUCCCACCCGACUUCCAGCACUCCUCCUUCCCAAGAUGAGGCUGGGAGGCCCGCCCUGGCCAGCAGGGGCCUCCACAGCCCCUCCAGCCUUCCUGCUGCCUGCCACCCCGGGCACAGGCCUGGGCUCCUGCACCACAUGUUCCCUGCUGGGGUCAGUGCCCCAUAAAUCCCUCUCACUCUCAAGCCUCGGAGAAGUGUGGGUGGCAUCAGACCACUACUGUCUGAGCUGCCAAACUUCUCUGAAGCCCAUGAGGGCAGCGGCCAUAUCCAGCCCAGGCUGGCAUCCCUGGUGCCCAGCACAAGUCCUGGAAGACACUGGAGAGACCCUGCAUAGAAUGCCUGCUCCCAUGUUCCUUGGACCAUGCAUCCCUCAGGGCCCUGCCUGUCACUCAGAAGCAUUCUGUGCUCAAACCCAAGGCUGUGGUGUUUCAGAAAGAGGAACAGAUGUGGUUCCCUGAAAGACAGAUGGGAAGGCACAUGGUGUGUGAUGGGCGAGACUUCAGUCCUCAGCCCCUGGAGGGACCCUGUGUAUAGGCAGUAGGGGAACAAGGGUGGCCAUCCUCACUGCACUAUAAACCAGGGGUGCUGGGGGUGGCAGGAUGGCAAUGAUCCGCCUGUCAAAUGUCCCUCACCCCAACAUUCCCAUCAUGUGACCUGCACAGGAGCCUCACCUGCUGUGAUUCUGCAGAGCCCUGGAGCCUGGCUACAGGGUCAGCUGUAGCCCUUCCUCUGAAUCCCCUGGAAGGAGCUGUGCCCCCAUCUUACAGAUGAGGGACCCAAGGGUCGAAGUCCCCAGGAAAGGAAGCGGCAAGGCCCCACCCCACCCUGUUGCCUAGUGUGCUCACAGGGCCUUCUUGGGCUCCUGGUGGGCAGAGUGCACCCCUAACAUCUCUUUGGGGUGUCCCAGGGUCUCGGUGCUGAUGAGCACUAGUGCCUAGCAGCCCUUAGCAGACAGAUUUGUGCCUUCUUGGGGACUGUGGCCCUGCGAGUGCUGGUGAAUGAAUGAUGGUUACAUGGCUGCUCACUUGGGAGGAGAAGGACCACUGUGGCACAAUGACAAGGACUUUGCCCUGGGGGGCUCCCUGACCUUGUGGCCCUGAGCUCUGAUGUCCUGGGGGUUUGGGUGCUCCAGUGUCCCCCACAGGGCCUGCUCAGAAUGGACAGGAUAGACCUGUGCUGCACGUUACCUACCCCCUGCUCCUGGCAGAUCUGUGUCAGCCUCUCCAGCUGCUCGUCCUGCAUGACCUUGGCCUUCUCAUACUGCUGGAUGACCAUCUCCAUCUCCACCUUCACGGGCAGGACGUAUGCUGGAAGACAGACAGCCGUGAGGAAUGGGCAGCACCUGCGUGCAUCUGGAAAGCACAGGGGUUGCAGCUGAGCUCAAAUUGCUGGGGAGACACUUUCUUCUCCUGCAGGGACUUAAUGUUGGCUGUCGUCAUGGCUGCCUGGAUAAUGACUGUCCUCCAGCCUCCUUUACAGCCACCAGUGGCAGGGGACAUUUCCUGGACAGUGGGUGCAACGGAGGAGGCCUGGCAUCUGCCUUAAAAAGCGCUGGGGCAGUGGGGACCCUCACAUGUUGCUGGUGUGCGGCCAACCUAGAGAACAGCUUGGCAGCCCCUUAGCAUAGUAAACGGAGUGGCACAGCCCAGCGCCCCCAUGCCUAGGUGCCUGAGAGAACCAAAAACAACCUGCACGGCAGCGCGCACUGCAGCACAUGGGGGUGGGGGGUGGGUGUAGUCCAUGAUGGCCCCAAGGCAGAAACAGCCCAAACUUUCACCAAUCCAUGACGGAAGAGAUGAAAUACAAUCCAACAGUGCUUGAGGAAGGAAAUACGGAUGCAUGGACGACACAGAGGAGCCCUGAGGACAUUGUGAUGUGUGGAAGAAGCCAGACACAAAAUCCCACAUGUUGUGCAAUUCUGUCUACAUGGCGGGUUCACGACGGGCAGCUCUGCAGAGGUGGGAAGUGGAUCAGUGUGAGCCUGGGGCUUGGGGGAUGGGAAGAGGGAGCUGGAGAGCUCAGGGUUUCUUCUGGGGUGAUGAGAGUGCUCCAACCUUAGGUUUAGUGGUGGUUGCAUAACACUACUAAUACAUAAAACAUCGCUGAGCUGUGCACUUUAAUUGAGUGGAUUUCACAGCAUGUGACUUCAUCUCAAGAAAGAGAUUAAAGAUAAGGUGGCUCUUGCACCCCAGUCCAAGGUGGCAGACAAAGCCACCCAGACCAGUGUGGAAGACUGAGGCUGGACCCUGCAGUCCAGGGGUGGCACCAGCCCCUUACCCAGGCUGUGGGAGACAAGGACUGGCUCCGACUGCAAUCCAACUAGGAAGGGGCUCUGGCUAGAUGGAAACUGCAGGUUCAUGCAUGGCCUCUUCAAAUAUGAGCUAACAUCGAGUGUGACAUUCCUGUCACAAAUCCCACUGUCACAAACUACAGCGCCUAACCUGGACAGAGACAGCAAAGAUGAACCAGGUGGCAGAAUCUGUCUGACAGAUCCCUGCAGAUCUUUAAGGGUCAGGAAUGUGUCCAAGUUGGAAUGACUGCAUCUCAUAUUCCAGCUGCCUGGAAUAAUGACUCUUCUCCAGUUUCCUUUGCAGCUACCAGUGGCCUCAGGAUGUGAUGGUUGGCACUGUGGCAGCCACCUUAGACCCAUGGCUCUGGGGCUGGAAGUGGCUUCCAAACAGCAGGAUCCAAAACAAAGAGAAACAAAGCCAGUGAAGGGUAAAGCCACUGGGACAGGAUAGAGGGACCUCAGUCCCAGAUCCCCAGCACCACAAUCCGCAGGACCGUCUGAGGAGAGAAGAAGUGCUUACUCUUCUCCAGUGCCUGCCCUCAGCCCAGAUUUCCUGCCCAGCCACAGGGAAAUGGACUCCUCAGCCUGGCGCCUUCCUCAUUCCCACUCUGAGUGUCCAGCUCCGGGCCUCAUGGUGGCCAGUGGCUAUGCCUCUUGUGACCCCUGCCACCUAGCUCUGUCAGGGCAGCCUCACUCAAAACCCUUCACAUCUAACCCCAGGGAGAGAGCCUCAAAACCUGCCUCCCUCUUCAACACUGCCUCUUGCCUCUCCCCUCACGACACAAAACUAUUUACAAAU